CUCCACCCACCCCAGGAUGAGUUAGGCUCUGAGCUCCAGCUCCGAGGAACCACACAGCCUGUCAUUUUCCCGGCACCUCCAAGCCACCCCUUCCCGAAGUUCAUUGCCCGCCGGAGACCGAAAAAGUACCCCGCGAGUUCUGUUUCAGUCGAAGAGCAGGACAGUUGCCAACUAAGAGUCCAACCAACAGGCAGAAUCUCCUCCUGCUUCUUGCUCUGUGUGUCCAACUCACAGCUCCCUGGGAGAGGACCUUCAGGGGCCAUCGGAAUCCAGCCAGUGUGAACUGCUCUGAAAGUAAAGCAUUUGCCAAACUGGACCUUUCUUUGUCAAUGAAGUCUUCCCAGUGUGGCAUUCUCGAGUGCAUGGACUGGAUCCUCCUCGAAGCCGCAGUGUGAGGCACCAAGCAGGCCUCUGUAAGCUCACUGGGAGAGGAACGGAAGAAGCUCUUGGUCACCUCCCAACUCAAGCGAGCUCUACUCUGUCUCUAGCUC